rnacentral:rRNA from 1 species
CCUACGGGAUGCACCAGUGGGGAAUAUUGCACAAUGGGCGCAAGCCUGAUGCAGCCAUGCCGCGUGUAUGAAGAAGGCCUUCGGGUUGUAAAGUACUUUCAGCGAGGAGGAAGGCGUUAAGGUUAAUAACCUUGGCGAUUGACGUUACUCGCAGAAGAAGCACCGGCUAACUCCGUGCCAGCAGCCGCGGUAAUACGGAGGGUGCAAGCGUUAAUCGGAAUUACUGGGCGUAAAGCGCACGCAGGCGGUCUGUCAAGUCGGAUGUGAAAUCCCCGGGCUCAACCUGGGAACUGCAUUCGAAACUGGCAGGCUAGAGUCUUGUAGAGGGGGGUAGAAUUCCAGGUGUAGCGGUGAAAUGCGUAGAGAUCUGGAGGAACACCGGUGGCGAAAGCGGCUCUCUGGCCUGUAACUGACACUGAGGCUCGAAAGAGUGGGGAGCAAACAGGAUUAGAUACCACAGUAGUC